UACGUAGGUGGCAAGCGUUGUCCGGAUUUACUGGGCGUAAAGAGCGCGCAGGCGGUCGGAUAAGUCGAAUGUGAAAGCCCCCGGCUCAACUGGGGAGGGUCAUUCGAUACUGUUCGAAUCGAAGGCAGGAGAGGGAAGUGGAAUUCCCGGUGUAGUGGUGAAAUGCGUAGAUAUCGGGAGGAACACCAGUGGCGAAGGCGACUUCCUGGCCUGUUCUUGACGCUGAGGCGCGAAAGCUAGGGGAGCAAACGGG
rnacentral:rRNA from 1 species